UACGGGGGGGGCAAGCGUUGUUCGGAAUUACUGGGCGUAAAGGGCUCGUAGGUGGCCAACUAAGUCAGACGUGAAAUCCCUCGGCUUAACCGGGGAACUGCGUCUGAUACUGGUCGGCUUGAGUGUGGGAGAGGGAUGCGGAAUUCCAGGUGUAGCGGUGAAAUGCGUAGAUAUCUGGAGGAACACCGGUGGCGAAGGCGGCAUCCUGGACCACGACUGACACUGAGGAGCGAAAGCCAGGGGAGCAAACGGG
rnacentral:rRNA from 1 species